rnacentral:rRNA from 1 species
CCUGAACGCUGGCGGCGUGGCUAAGACAUGCAAGUCGAACGGGUCCCGAGCAAUCGGGACCAGUGGCGGACGGGUGAGUAAUUUAUCGCUAACGUGCCGCGGAGCCUGGGAUAGCCGGUCGAAAGGCCGGGUAAUACCAGAUGAGACCACGGGCAGGCAUCUGCCAGUGCUCAAAGCAGCAAUGCACUCUGUGAGCGGGCGAUAUCGUAUCAGCUUGUUGGUGAGGUAACGGCCCACCAAGGCUAUGACGCGUAGCUGGUCUGAGAGGACGGCCAGCCACAUUGGGACUGAGACACUGCCCAGACUCCUACGGGGG